GACGAACGCUGGCGGCGUGCCUAAUACAUGCAAGUUGAGCGCUGAAGGUUGGUACUUGUACCGACUGGAUGAGCAGCGAACGGGUGAGUAACGCGUGGGGAAUCUGCCUUUGAGCGGGGGACAACAUUUGGAAACGAAUGCUAAUACCGCAUAAAAACUUUAAACACAAGUUUUAAGUUUGAAAGAUGCAAUUGCAUCACUCAAAGAUGAUCCCGCGUUGUAUUAGCUAGUUGGUGAGGUAAAGGCUCACCAAGGCGAUGAUACAUAGCCGACCUGGGAGGGUGAUCGGCCACAUUGGGACUGAGACACGGCCCAUACUCCUACGGGAGGCAGCAGUAGGGAAUCUUCGGCAAUGGACGAAAGUCUGACCGAGCAACGCCGCGUGAGUGAAGAAGGUUUUCGGAUCGUAAAACUCUGUUGGUGGAGAAGAACGUUGGUGAGAGUGGAAAGCUCAUCAAGUGACGGUAACUACCCAGAAAGGGACGGCUAACUACGUG
rnacentral:rRNA from 1 species